AGAAGCCCUACAGGAGCGACCUGAGAUCACAUGCGGGCACCCUUAGGGACAUUUCCAACAGGGGUUGUGCCUUAUUGUGUAUCUGAUGUGUUCUCAGGUCGCCCCUGCUGGACUAAU
rfam:Cephalotus follicularis DNA, scaffold: scaffold239, isolate: St1.